UGUGUGUGUGUGUUUUAGAGUGUGUGUGUGUGUGUUUCAGAGUGUGUGUGUUUCAGAGUGUGUGUGUGUGUGUGUGUGUGUUUCAGAGUGUGUGUGAGUGUGUUUCAGAGUGUGUGUGUGUUUCAGAGUGUGUGUGUGUGUGUGUUUCAGAGUGUGUGUGUGUGUGUUUCAGAGUGUGUGUGUGUGUGUGUUUCAGAGUGUGUGUGUGUGUGUUUCAGAGUGUGUGUGUGUUUCAGAGUGUGUGUGUGUGUGUGUUUUCAAGUGUGUGUGUGUGUGUUUCAGUGUGUGUGUGUGUGUUUCAGAGUGUGUGUGUGUGUUUCAGAGUGUGUGUGUGUGUUUCAGAGUGUGUGUGUGUGUGUGUUUCAGAGUGUGUGUUUCAGAGUGUGUGUGUGUGUUUCAGAGUGUGUGUGUGUGUUUCAGAGUGUGUGUGUGUUUCAGAGUGUGUGUGUUUCAGAGUGUGUGUGUGUGUGUGUUUCAGAGUGUGUGUGUGUGUGUGUUUCAGAGUGUGUGUGUGUGUGUGAGUGUGUGUGUGUGUUUCAGAGUGUGUGUGUGUGUGUGUGUUUCAGAGUGUGUGUGUGUGUGUGUGUUUCAGAGUGUGUGUGUUUCAGAGUGUGUGUGUGUGUGUGUUUCAGAGUGUGUGUGUGUUUCAGAGUGUGUGUGUGUGUGUUUCAGAGUGUGUGUGUG
rnacentral:lncRNA from 1 species